rnacentral:rRNA from 1 species
GGGGGAUAACAGUUGGAAACGGCUGCUAAUACCGCAUAAGACCGCAUGGUAAAAACUCCGGUGGUGUGAGAUGGACCCGCGUCUGAUUAGCUAGUUGGCAGGGCAACGGCCUACCAAGGCGACGAUCAGUAGCCGACCUGAGAGGGUGACUGGCCACAUUGGGACUGAAACACGGCCCAAACUCCUACGGGAGGCAGCAGUGGGGAAUAUUGCACAAUGGGGGAAACCCUGAUGCAGCGACGCCGCGUGAGCGAAGAAUUAUUUCGGUAUGUAAAGCUCUAUCAGCAGGGAAGAAAAAUGACGGUACCUGACUAAGAAGCACCGGCUAAAUACGUGCCAGCAGCCGCGGUAAUACGUAUGGUGCAAGCGUUAUCCGGAUUUACUGGGUGUAAAGGGAGCGCAGGCGGAA